GUGUGUUACGUGAUAUGGAGAAAAGAGGGAAGAACACCCUCUAAAACCUAACCACAAAUUCAACAAAUUAAUGGAGCAAUUGAUAGUUGAUCUAGUGCAUGAACAUCAAUCUUUGAUCACCUCUACUUGCUAAGCAUAAGGACAUAAAUCUUGUUAAUUGACUCAUGCAUGGAUGGCUAUCGGGUCACGAGGAAGCAAGGAGGCAAGCAUGAACAUGGAUGCUAAAGGUUAGUCAGAUAUUCAUGAUGGACAAGUGAACGAGGGUCGAGUUGAAGAUCAUGGAUUGUACGGGAAAGCGGUCACGUUGAUUGUAGCUAUUUGUUAACAUAGUUACAUUAAAUAAAUGAUCAAUGAUGUAUUUAUGUUAAAAGGGUUGACCUAAACGGUAUUCAAGUGUGUUAGAGCAGUUAAAAGAAAGAAAUUUUACGGUUCA